GACGAACGCUGGCGGCGUGCCUAAUACGUGCAAGUUGAGCGCUGAAGGUUGGUACUUGUACCAACUGGAUGAGCAGCGCACGGGUGAGUAACGCGUGGGGAAUCUGCCUUUGAGCGGGGGACAACAUUUGGAAACGAAUGCUAAUACCGCAUAAAAACUUUAAACACAAGUUUUAAGUUUGAAAGAUGCAAUUGCAUCACUCAAAGAUGAUCCCGCGUUGUAUUAGCUAGUUGGUGAGGUAAAGGCUCACCAAGGCGAUGAUACAUAGCCGACCUGAGAGGGUGAUCGGCCACAUUGGGACUGAGACACGGCCCAAACUCCUACGGGAGGCAGCAGUAGGGAAUCUUCGGCAAUGGACGAAAGUCUGACCGAGCAACGCCGCGUGAGUGAAGAAGGGUUUCGGAUCGUAAAACUCUGUUGGUAGAGAAGAACGUUGGUGAGAGUGGAAAGCUCAUCAAGUGACGGUAACUACCCAGAAAGGGACGGCUAACUACGUG
rnacentral:rRNA from 1 species